rnacentral:rRNA from 1 species
AGUGAACGCUGGCGGUAGGCCUAACACAUGCAGGUCGAACGGCAGCACAGUACGGCUUUGUUCUUUGGGGUGGAGAGUGGGGGGCGGGCGAGGUAUACAGCGGAAUCUACUUUUGCGUGGGGGACAACGUAGGGAAACUAACGCUAACACCGUAAAAUACCAAGGGGCAAAAGGAGGGCAUUUUCGGAUCUUGCGCAUUGGAAUGAGCAGAUGUCGGAUUAGCUAGUUUGCGGGAUAAAGGCCCACCAAGGCGACGACCCGUAGCUGGUGUGAGAGGAUGAGCAGCCACACUGGAACUGAGACACGGUGCAGACUCCUACGGGAGGCAGCAGUGGGGAAUAUUGCACAAUGGGCGCAAGCCUGAUGCAGCCAUGCCGCGUGAGUGAAGAAGGCCUUCUGGUUGUAAAGAGCUUUCGUCGGGAAGGAAGAGCAGCAAGUUAAUACCCUACUGUUCUGACGUUACCCUAAGAAUAAGCACCGGCUAACUUCGUG